UUAAGCGAAUAAGCGUACACGGUGGAUGCCUAGGCAAUCAGAGGCGAUGAAGGACGUGCUAAUCUGCGAAAAGCGUCGGUAAGGUGAUAUGAACCGUUAUACCCGACGAUAUCCGAAUGGGGAAACCCAGUAUCCAAUGGAUACUAUCAUUAACUGAAUCCAUAGGUUAAUGAGGCGAACCGGGAGAACUGAAACAUCUCAGUACCCCGAGGAAAAGAAAUCAACCGAGAUUCCCCUAGUAGCGGCGAGCGAACGGGGAGCAGCCCAGAGUCUUAAUCAAUAGCAGUGUCAGGAGAACGGUCUGGAAAGUCCGGCAGUAAAGGGUGAUAGCCCCGUAUCUGAAGAUGUUGUUAUUGUGAACUCGACGAGUAGGGCGGGACACGUGUUAUCCUGUCUGAAUAUGGGGGGACCAUCCUCCAAGGCUAAAUACUCCUGAUUGACCGAUAGUGAACCAGUACCGUGAGGGAAAGGCGAAAAGAACCCCGGCGAGGGGAGUGAAAAAGAACCUGAAACCGUGUACGUACAAGCAGUAGGAGCCUCUUUAUGGGGUGACUGCGUACCUUUUGUAUAAUGGGUCAGCGACUUAUAUUCUGUAGCAGGUUAACCGUAUAGGGGAGCCGUAGGGAAACCGAGUCUUAACUGGGCGAAUGAGUUGCAGGGUAUAGACCCGAAACCCGGUGAUCUAUCCAUGGGCAGGUUGAAGGUUGGGUAACACUAACUGGAGGACCGAACCGACUAAUGUUGAAAAAUUAGCGGAUGACUUGUGGAUGGGGGUGAAAGGCCAAUCAAACCGGGAGAUAGCUGGUUCUCCCCGAAAGCUAUUUAGGUAGCGCCUCGUGAACUCAUCUUCGGGGGUAGAGCACUGUUUCGACUAGGGGGUCAUCCCGACUUACCAACUCGAUGCAAACUGCGAAUACCGAAGAAUGUUAUCACGGGAGACACACGGCGGGUGCUAACGUCCGUCGUGAAGAGGGAAACAACCCAGACCGCCAGCUAAGGUCCCAAAGUCAUGGUUAAGUGGGAAACGAAGUGGGAAGGCUCAGACAGCCAGGAUGUUGGCUUAGAAGCAGCCAUCAUUUAAAGAAAGCGUAAUAGCUCACUGGUCGAGUCGGCCCGCGCGGAAGAUGUAACGGGGCUAAACCAUGCACCGAAGCUGCGGCAGCGACACCAAUGUGUUGUUGGGAAAUAGUAGGGGGGGGAGCGGGAAGCGUUCUGGUAAGCCUGGCCGGAAGGUGUACUGUGAGGUAUGCUGGAGGUAUCAGAAGUGCGAAUGCUGACAUAAGUAACGAUAAUGCGGGUGAAAAACCCGCACGCCGGAAGACCAAGGGUUCCUGUCCAACGUUAAUCGGGGCAGGGUGAGUCGACCCCUAAGGCGAGGCUGAAAAGCGUAGUCGAUGGGAAACGGGUUAAUAUUCCCGUACUGGUGGUAACUGCGAUGGGGGAACGGAGAAGGCUAGGUUGUCCGGGCGACGGUCGUCCCGGUUCAAGCAGGUAGGCAGAGUGAUUAGGCAAAUCCGGUCACUUAAUGCUGAGAUGUGAUGACGAACCACCAAGGUGGUGAAGCAAUUGAUGCCCCGCUUCCAGGAAAAGCCUCUAAGCUUCAGGUUACCAACAAUCGUACCCCAAACCGACACAGGUGGUCAGGUAGAGAAUACUCAGGCGCUUGAGAGAACUCGGGUGAAGGAACUAGGCAAAAUGGUGCCGUAACUUCGGGAGAAGGCACGCUGGCGGUAGGUAAAGUCCCUCGCGGACGGCGCUGAAGCCAGUCGAAGAUACCAGCUGGCUGCAACUGUUUAUUAAAAACACAGCACUGUGCAAACACGAAAGUGGACGUAUACGGUGUGACGCCUGCCCGGUGCUGGAAGGUUAAUUGAUGGGGUUAGCGUAAGCGAAGCUCCUGAUCGAAGCCCCAGUAAACGGCGGCCGUAACUAUAACGGUCCUAAGGUAGCGAAAUUCCUUGUCGGGUAAGUUCCGACCUGCACGAAUGGCGUAAUGAUGGCCAGGCUGUCUCCACCCGAGACUCAGUGAAAUUGAACUCGCUGUGAAGAUGCAGUGUACCCGCGGCAAGACGGAAAGACCCCGUGAACCUUUACUAUAGCUUGACACUGAACAUUGAGCCUUGAUGUGUAGGAUAGGUGGGAGGCUUUGAAGUGUGGACGCCAGUCUGCAUGGAGCCAACCUUGAAAUACCACCCUUUAACGUUUGAUGUUCUAACCUAGGCCCAUAAACUGGGUCGGGGACCGUGUCUGGUGGGUAGUUUGACUGGGGCGGUCUCCUCCUAAAGAGUAACGGAGGAGCACGAAGGUUGGCUAAGCAUGGUCGGACAUCAUGCGGUUAGUGCAAAGGCAUAAGCCAGCUUGACUGCGAGAGUGACGGCUCGAGCAGGUACGAAAGUAGGUCUUAGUGAUCCGGUGGUUCUGAAUGGAAGGGCCAUCGCUCAACGGAUAAAAGGUACUCCGGGGAUAACAGGCUGAUACCGCCCAAGAGUUCAUAUCGACGGCGGUGUUUGGCACCUCGAUGUCGGCUCAUCACAUCCUGGGGCUGAAGUAGGUCCCAAGGGUAUGGCUGUUCGCCAUUUAAAGUGGUACGCGAGCUGGGUUUAGAACGUCGUGAGACAGUUCGGUCCCUAUCUGCCGUGGGCGUUGGAAGAUUGAGAGGGGUUGCUCCUAGUACGAGAGGACCGGAGUGAACGCACCACUGGUGUUCGGGUUGUCAUGCCAAUGGCAUUGCCCGGUAGCUAAGUGCGGAAGAGAUAACCGCUGAAAGCAUCUAAGCGGGAAACUUGCCUCGAGAUGAGUCUUCCCUGUCGCUUUAAGUGACCUAAAGGAACGUUUAAGACUAAGACGUUGAUAGGCUGGGUGUGUAAGCGUAGCGAUACGUUGAGCUAACCAGUACUAAUGAACCGUGAGGCUUAACCUG
rnacentral:rRNA from 1 species